rnacentral:pre_miRNA from 1 species
AAUGUACUCCAUCCGUUCGGAAUUACUUGUCAUAGAAAUGGAUGUAUCUAGACGUAUUUUAGUUCUAGAUACAUCCAUUUUCGAGACAAGUAAUUCCGAACGGAGGAAGUAAUUU